CUGCUCAAGAUGCGUAGGGUGCAGGUGGGGUCUGUCUACUGAUUCCUCCUGUGAUAGAUGAUGAAGUAAUUGCUGCCCCGGGGGUCUGCACACCAGUGGAAGACACUCAUAUUAACUUGUGGCUGAUUUGAUCAAACUGGCUUCCUGAACUGGAAUGAAACGCAGAUAAGUCGUUAGAAAACUUUUAGAGGCAAAGUGCCUCGUGUGAUCAGAACAAAGCCGUUUUAUAAUCAGAUUUACCAAGCUGAGAACGAGUUUCGGGCAAACGGAAGCUGCAGUGUUCUGUCACCAGGAAACACUGCAUUUUCCAGAAUCGAGCAGCUGCCUGCUUGCCUUAUGAACUUGAACUUCCACACCGUUGUUCUUGGGCUCCUCUGCAGGAAGGCUGCUGCUUCGGAGACUGGCCUCAGAUUGUAAGGAGCCUGGUUUACUUCUGUUCUUUCUUUGUCAUUGUCCCAAAACUUUUAUGAAGGACUUUCCAGUCUCAAUAGAAUUUGAACAUUUUAUUGUGUUUCAACAUCUCACUCCAUCAUUAGUUCCCUGAAAGCUUGCCCUAGAAUUUACUGGACUGUCCACUACUGCUGAUCAUCCUUUCUGAAAGCAGAAGAGCAACUUGUGUUGGAAUGAGAAGGAGCUUAGUUGAGGAGCUCAAGCAUGACUUUCCAUGGUGAGAGGAAGAGAGAAUGGAACUUGCUUUGAAGAAACACAAGUUUUAUAAUAUGGGUUGUUUGCCACUCUUUCGGUAAAUAAAUUUACACCUAUGAAUAUUUUUAGAGAGUAGAAAUUGAAACUAAAAUUGUCAAUGGAGGAAUAGUUUUAAAAGGGGUAUUUAUUAAUUGUUAUAUAAACUAGAGAUUUUUAGUAAGAAAUCAUGUAUUUUACAUUAAUGUGCUUAAAAAAUGGAAAAGGAGUAAAAGUGAUAUAAAGAUAAAUGUCUAUGUAAUUAACUAAUUGCCAAUAAUGGUAAUAUAAUGUUUUUUGUCAUCUUGUGCUGAAUUCAAUAAAAUGAAGCUAAUGACUUAGAAGUUUUAAAA